rnacentral:rRNA from 1 species
AGUUUGAUCAUGGCUCAGGAUGAACGCUGGCGGCAUGCCUAAAACAUGCAAGUCGAGCGGUAAGGCCCCUUCGGGGGUACACGGAGCGGCGGACGGGUGAGUAACGCGUGGGAAUCUACCCAAACUGAGGGAUAAGCAUUGGAAACGAUGUCUAAUACCGCAUAUGGGUCUUCGGAUUAAAGCUUCGGCGGUUUGGGGAAGAGCCCGCGUAAGAUUAGCUAGUUGGUGAGGUAAAGGCUCACCAAGGGCGACGAUCUUUAACUGGUUUGAGAGGAUGAUCAGUCACACUGGAACUGAGACACGGUCCAGACUCCUACGGGAGGCAGCAGUUAGGAAUUUUCCACAAUGGGCGAAAGCCUGAUGGAGCAAUGCCGCGUGCAGGAUGAAGGCCCUAGGGUUGUAAACUGCUUUUAUACGUGAAGAAUAUGACGGUAACGUAUGAAUAAGGAUCGGCUAACUCCGUG